GAGAUAUUGCAAACUGGCUUGUGUUGUAAGAAAAUGUCAGCUCACAGAUACCUCACUGGUCCUGUGGCUGGUACAGAGCACCAUACAAGGAGGAGUUAGGCCACAGACUGGAGCUCUGGGAAGAUUGGCGAGUCGAGGUCCUGGUAUCGGUGUAAAGUCUGGAGGUCCAGUGGCUGGUAUCCUCGGAGCCCGUGGCUAUGGGGCAGGC
ensembl:lncRNA